rnacentral:lncRNA from 10 species
CAGCAUUGCAAGUUCCAAGAACGAAUGUCCCGGGCAAGGGAGCCGGAUGCAAGCUGUACCGCCUUCUAUAGACGUGGAAGUCACACAGCAUCACUUCUACUCUUCCUGAGAUUCAAGUUCACCUCUCCGCAGGAGGAGAGUUAAAGUGUCCUUGUAAGAAGAGCCCGUGGAUGGGAGAUGUUGUCGCGGUCACCGUUGGACGUUUUUUCUGCCACGAUUCUUGUUCGAAUGGAAGAGACGGAGUCACCCUAUGUUGCCCAGGCUGGUCUCAAACUCCUGGGCUCAAGCAAUCCUUCCUGCCUUGGCCUCCCAAAAUGCUGAGAUUACAG